ACGGCCAAAGAGGAUUGCGGCACGUGCGAAGCGGUAGAGGUUGAACGGCUGCGGUGAGGGGAGAGAGAGAGAAAGAGAGAGAGAGAGAGAGAGAGAGAGAGAGAGAGAGAGAUGGUCGAGCGAGGGAGAGAGGAGUCAUGCGGGAGAAAUCAGAAAAAGAAUCAGGUGAGGGUUAGCAUGAAAGAAAAUUAAUUAAGUUAGAUACAAAUAAAAUAAC
rnacentral:lncRNA from 1 species